GACGAACGCUGGCGGCGUGCUUAACACAUGCAAGUCGAACGGAAAGGCCCUGCUUUUGUGGGGUGCUCGAGUGGCGAACGGGUGAGUAACACGUGAGUAACCUGCCCUUGACUUUGGGAUAACUUCAGGAAACUGGGGCUAAUACCGGAUAUGAGCUCCUGCUGCAUGGUGGGGGUUGGAAAGUUUCGGCGGUUGGGGAUGGACUCGCGGCUUAUCAGCUUGUUGGUGGGGUAGUGGCUUACCAAGGCUUUGACGGGUAGCCGGCCUGAGAGGGUGACCGGCCACAUUGGGACUGAGAUACGGCCCAGACUCCUACGGGAGGCAGCAGUGGGGAAUAUUGCACAAUGGGCGGAAGCCUGAUGCAGCAACGCCGCGUGCGGGAUGACGGCCUUCGGGUUGUAACCCGCUUUCGCCUGUGACGAAGAGUGAGUGACGGUAAUGGGUAAAGAAGCACCGGCUAACUACGUG
rnacentral:rRNA from 1 species